rnacentral:rRNA from 1 species
UGCCAGACUCCUACGGGAGGCAGCAGUGGGGAAUAUUGCACAAUGGGGGAAACCCUGAUGCAGCGACGCCGCGUGAGCGAUGAAGUAUUUCGGUAUGUAAAGCUCUAUCAGCAGGGAAGAAGAUGACGGUACCUGACUAAGAAGCCCCGGCUAACUACGUGCCAGCAGCCGCGGUAAUACGUAGGGGGCAAGCGUUAUCCGGAUUUACUGGGUGUAAAGGGAGCGUAGACGGCGAUGCAAGCCAGAUGUGAAAGCCCGGGGCUCAACCCCGGGACUGCAUUUGGAACUGUGUGGCUGGAGUGUCGGAGAGGCGGGCGGAAUUCCUAGUGUAGCGGUGAAAUGCGUAGAUAUUAGGAGGAACACCAGUGGCGAAGGCGGCCUGCUGGACGACAACUGACGGUGAGGCGCGAAAGCGUGGGGAGCAAACAGGAUUAGAUACCCUAGUACCG